rnacentral:rRNA from 1 species
GUUUCAGCCGCCGCGGUAAUACAGAGGGUGCAAGCGUUGUCCGGAUUUAUUGGGCGUAAAGCGUUUCGUAGGCGCUAUGUAAAGUCGUGCUUUAAAUACCAGAGCUCAACUUUGGAAAGGGGCAUGAUACUUAUAUGGUUGAAAGGUUUCGGAGCUUCCGGAACUCUCGGUGUAGGGGUGAAAUCCGUUGAUAUCGAGAGGAACACCAAGGGCGAAGGCAGGAAGCUAGAAACUCUUUGACGCUGAGGAACGACAGCUAGGGUAGCGAAAGGGAUUAGAAACCCGCGUAGUCC